AAUUUCUAUUUUGUGAUCCACCAACAUGCAAUUUAUUUUUUUAAAAAAAAUCCAGAAGUUUUCUCUAAGUAUUGAUAGAUUAAACUACUUAUAUAUAUAUAUAUAUAUAAAGCAUUCAUAGACUAUCUGCUAUGAGAUCUCAACACAAUAAGUUGUUCUGCUUUGUAUUUUUUUUAAAAUACAUUUUGCGGAUUAUAAGUUAUAUCUAGUCAAUCUUUUAGAAUAGAUCACUUAUGUGUUAGUUUUUUGAAAUCAGCAUUGCCUUCAAAUAGAGGUGAGGACCUACAGACAAAGUGAUUGCUCGAGCUUUAUGGUCUAAAGAAGACUGGCACUUAUUAUUGUUGUGGCUAUCAUGCUCUUUUUGGCAUUUCUUGGAUUUUUAUUUUCCAAAUGAUUGGGAUGCAACCUCUGGUAUACUUAGAUUCCGUGAGUUCCAAGCACCUCCAGAACAUAACUUGGGAGUUCUGCUAGUAUGUAUUUCUGGAGAACCUUUGUUGUUUAUACGCUUUAAUUUUUUGAGAUCCUGUUACACCAGAUUCCAUUAUCCUAUCUUUGCAAUAAUUUUUUUCUUCAGCUUGUGAUUUAUAUGAUGUAUUGGCUUCAGGAUAGAUUCACUCGAACCAAACAAUGGGUUCGAGAAUUGCAUAGACAAGGUGAGGUCAUUAAAACUACUCUCAACAUUUCUGAAGUAAUUCACUCUUGACAUUAAAAUCCUUUUGGAUGAUCUCAGACUCACCAUGUCUUUUUGACUCAGAAUAUUACAAAUUCUUAGAUUAUAUAAUUUGAUAGUUAACUUGAGAGUGGACUGAUGAUUACAUGUUGUAAUCACAAGUAUGUGGCAUACUAUGUCUUAUUCCUCGUUUAGAAAAAGCUUCAAAUUUAAUAUUUUAC